GUAAAAGAGCUGGGGUCUACUUAAGAUAAAAGACUCUGAUGCACCAGAGGCUUAGCCUUCACCUUUCUCCAUGGGACUAACUUGCCAGAACAAGCUGUUCCUCAACAAGAGAACACAUCAUCUCCCAGAACUUUCAAAACUUCUUCCAGUUCUCACAGGAGCAAAUGCCUGGAGUUUUCCCACUUUCCACGUCAGGAGGUUUACCUACUUUCAGAACAUGCUGCUCUACAGACAUCUGAAGCUACAAGCCCCAUUCCAGGAGGAUUUUCACGUGGAAGGUGAAUGGACACCAACCAGAGACUAGAGACAUUGAGAACAGGGACCCCCUGUGUUGCUCCAUCUCCUGAGUGAGAGGGCAAGUGUGCUUUUAAGCGUGGGAUAUUUGAAUUCUUCUGUGUGAGGUUUCUUUGAAACUCUGCAUUUCCACUCACGAAACAAAUGGUGCCAUAGGAUGCCUGGCACUAAGGCAUAUAAACGAUUUACUGAAACCUUGACAUUUGUGCUAUCUCACAACAUGUGUACUUCAAGGCGAUACUAGAGCAUUGUAAUAAAGUG
rnacentral:lncRNA from 1 species